UCUCCUCCUUCUGUCGCUGCAGCGUCAGCGUCAGCGUCAGCGUUAGCGUCAUAACGUCAAAACGCCAUAACGCCAUAACGCCGUAGCGCCAUAACGUCAUAACGUCGGGAGCCGCCCACCUAGUGUUACGACGCCGAAGUCGUUCUCCUUGCUUCUUCUCUUCACGUGGGCGUGUUAUCCUCGGGAGGCCUCGCAAGAAGGAGGGUCCCUCUGUGGGAGCGAAUAGCAAGGGGACCGGACCUGGUGCAGAGUGUGAGAGAGGGAUUCCUGGUGAAAGGGACAAUGACACGAAGGCUGAAGGCAAGACCUUGCAGGUUAGAAGCUUCCAUCCUGAGGUGCGACUGGAGGCAAGCAACCAGAAGCUCUCAGAAGCUAGAUACACCAGAAAUAUGCCCAGGAAAAGGGAGACAAGAAAUCCAGGAAAUAGAUGCACCAAUGGAAGAAAAAAGCAAUGACACACAGGGAGAAAGCCACGUGAUGAUGGACGUAGAGACUGGAGUCAUGCUGUCAGAAGCCGAGGAACACCUGGGGCCACCAGAAGCUGGAAGAUGCAAGGAAGGAUCCUUCCCUCUGCUUCAGAGAAGGCACAGCCCUGCCAACACAUUGACUGCAGACUUCUGGCCUCCAGAACUGUGGGUGAUGGGUGACAGUGGCAGAACAGGUUCUACAGAAAUGUCUGGCAUCCCUUGUUCCCAAGCUUUGAAGCCUCUGCCAAAUACAUAGAGACGUCACAUUUAACAUCCUGUUACAAAGGCGUAGAAUGAGUGGGUGUGAGCUAAGGAUUUUGCGCUGGACUGGCACACGGGGAUCAACGAAUGGGGAUGAAAAUGCUAUCAAUCUGAGCUCCCAAUGCUUCAAGGAGACACCUAAAGAAGAGGAGAGUUAAGUUUUUCUGUCCCACUGCCUCCCAGAGGUGGUAGUUGACCAACCCUGCAGAACACAGAUGGGAAAGACGUCCCAUACUCUUACCCUCUAAGUGGAAGAUUGCAAAAGAAUAUCGAGAGAGGGAAAAGAAGUGGAUACAUACGAGCUAUGGGUGUAAAGGCCCUGGCUGGAACUUUUUGCCAAAGGGAUGGUGAAGAGGUAGCUGCAAGUAGGAUUCUUUGGGGGAAGACAAUCCAAAGUGGGUUGGAAGAACGAGGCCCGCAACAAGCAGGUCUGAAAGUCGCUUCUCCUCUCCACACCUCUGAAUCCACAUCAGGAAAAUAAGAAGAUUGGAGCCCACCUUCUCAUGGCCCUUCCAGCCCCAACAAGUGUUUCUUUGGACACACCAUGGUGAACUGAAAAGCUGAUAAAAUGCCUGACCGAUGGCAUCCAACUUCACAGACAACUGACAAGUUUUACAAGUUUAACAGGUUCUGUUUUGAAUGGCUUCUACCAAAUGGAGGUGGAGGAGAAUGUUGGCCUGAUGGGAAAAUGAACUUUUUCUCAAAAGCUCAUGCUCAGAAAUUGUUCUGUGUUAUGGCAUUCUUUUUCUAGCUCCUGGGCUAACCAAAUCCCAUGCAAACCAGAGAGAAAGACAGAAAGUGUGAAUGGGGGAGAGGGGCAGAGAGAGAGUAUCCUGAGCACUCCACACUCAGCGCAGAGACCGAUGCCACAACCGUGAGAUCAUGACCUGGAGUCGAAAUCAAGAGUCAGACGCCCAAACGACUGAGCCAUUCAGGUGCCCCUAACUGAACACUUUUGACUAUACUUAUAGGUGUUUAUUUACUUCUAUGACUGUGCAUUUUCUUUGCCCAGUUUUCACAGGGGUAUUAAGUGUUCCUAUUGACUUGCCAUAUAGACGUAAAAUAUUGACUACUCUUCUGCUACAAAAACUGAAAAAAAAUGUGUCCAAAUUUUGAGGCAUUACUAAAGUUAAAAUGUUAAGCUUCCAUACAGUUAAGUCUGCCAAGCCUUUUCUCUAUAAUUGCCACCUUUGGUGUUUUGCUUAGAAAGGCUUUGCACAGCGUAUACAUUUAACCCCCUCUCUACUUCCUUCCACUUCUUUCAGAAUUCCUUUUUGUAUGUAACAAUAUGGUCCACCUAAACCUGUUUUCCUUCGUUCUCUAUGUAUUUUGUGAUGCAGACAUAUGUUUUUUUUCUUCUCCCAAAACUCAGGGGUUGCCACAACACAAUUGAAUUUUCAUGCCUUUCUCUAUCAGUUGAAAUUCCACCUUAUCAAAUUAUAAGUUUAUAUAUAAGUAGGAUCUGUGUUUUUUA